AGUAAGAGUUUGAUCCUGGCUCAGAACUAACGCUGGCGGCGUGCCUAACACAUGCAAGUCGAACGAGAAGCCCGCAAGGGUUGUAAAGUGGCGGACGGGUGCAUAACACGUGGGUAAUCUACCCUUUGGUCUGAAGAUAACCUGGCCGAAAGGCGGGCUAAUACCGGAUAAGACCACGGCUCUGAGGAGCUGUGGGAAAAGGCCCGCAAGGGUCGCCGAUCGAUGAGCCCGCGGCCUAUCAGGUAGUUGGUGAGGUAAUGGCUCACCAAGCCUACGACGGGUAGCUGGUCUGAGAGGACGACCAGCCACACUGGAACUGAGACACGGUCCAGACUCCUACGGGAGGCAGCAGUGGGGAAUAUUGCGCAAUGGGCGAAAGCCUGACGCAGCAACGCCGCGUGGGUGAUGAAGGCCUUCGGGUUGUAAAGCCCUGUCGCCCGGGACGAAUAAGCUCGUGAAGAACGAGCCCUGACGGUACCGGGAGAGGAAGCACCGGCUAACUCUGUGCCAGCAGCCGCGGUAAUAC
rnacentral:rRNA from 1 species